rnacentral:rRNA from 1 species
AAAAUGAAUCUGGAGAGUUUGAUCCUGGCUCAGAACGAACGCUGGCGGCGUGCCUAACACAUGCAAGUCCAACGUGAAAGGGGAGCAAUCCCCCCGGUAGGGUGGCAAACGGGUGAGUAAUACAUGGGUGAUCUACCUUAGGGAUGGGGAUAUCCUUCCGAAAGGAGGGGCAAUACCGAAUAUUGUCCGGAGCCGUGAAGGGUUCCGGGGAAAGGGAGGCCUCUGACACAAGCUUUCGCCUUAAGAUGAGCCCAUGGCCCCAUCAGCUAGUUGGUAGGUAAAGGCCUACCAAGGCUACGACGGGUCGGCUGGUCUGAGAGGACGACCAGCCACACUGGCACUGAGAUACGGGCCAGACUCCUACGGAGGCUAGCAGUGAGGAAUAUUGCGCAAUGGGGGAAACCCUG